CUCCAUUUUUUAGCUAAGAGAUUGAGAGAGUCGGUUUACUUUUGGGCUUGGAGUAUCAUUUAGAUCUGUUAACAGUACAGUUGAGAGAGUUGGUGUCUUUUGUUGAGGUGCGAGGACCCGAGGCGGCGACCCUCGCCUUUAUUCGGAGAAGCCCACUUCCACCCACAGAGUUGGGGUAGUCCUCCGAAAUGCAUUUUUGUUUUGCCGUUUGUUUUCCAACCCCCUUUCACUCUCCCCAAAGCUUCAGAUUCACUGAUUUUUCAUACAGGAAUGAUUAACAAAGGCGUCCGAAGAAAUCGUUGUUGGAAGGUGACCAAGGUGGAAAGAGACGUUGCUUUGGCCCUGCAAGUAAGAAGAGAGAGGGAAUAGCCUGAAGGAGUAACACUAAAUUUAAAAUGACACUUUUUUACCAACCAGCGAAAGCAGAUGUUCAAAGGGGAUAUUGGCCAGAGUCUGUCACACUAAGAUGAGAAAUGUCCUUUCUUCCUGAAGGUGUCUGAUGUGUAAAAAUAUGAUAUACUUUGUGCUGUUUCCUCCCUUCCCUUUUGCAUAUUAUUCUGAAACAACAUUAACUAGUUACUUUGCGUCAUUGAAGGUAUGCACUUCCCCUCUAUGUUAGGAGUGAAUAAAAUUAAAAAUAGAUCCUUAUAACAAAGAAAGGCAGAUAGAAUGAUUAAAAAUGACCAAAACAUGUUAGAAACAGUCUCUCAGGUGUAUGCAGAUGGUAAUUACAAAAAUACUUUUUCAAAAAAUGAUCUUCUGUGUCAUGUUUCUGGGAACAAGUCAAGAUGAAUGAGUUUGAUUUUUAAGCAGAAGUAGUAUGUGUUGGUGUCAUCCAUGAAUACAACAAUGAAAAAGGC
rnacentral:lncRNA from 1 species